UAUAAUGCAUAGACGUCAGCGUCGCCCGGUGUUUAGUGUGUAACGUUCCUCCGUCUCCAUGGGAACGUCAGGCGGCCAAACACCAGGCCCCAGCAACAGGCUUCUGAUUGGCCCGAGGCUUCCAGAGGCGGAGCUUCGCCGCCCGCGCCCGCUCGGCUGUGUUGCUGUUUUGGUUGUUUGUCUCCUAUUUGUUUAUUUCUCAAACAGAUCCUGGAGGUUGAGGUCUGGAUCCGUCGCCAGGGAUAGGGUCCAGGACAAAACGUGUUCAACGUGCAGCCUGCACCUACCGAUUUACAGCCUCAGGAUGACACAGGAAUCCAGAAUGUCUUGGUCUCUGAGAGCCAACCUAUCUGGGUUGUACAGAAAGAGUAAUCAUGAGGCAAUAUUUACAGUAUUCACCGAAGAUGACCCGAAAAGCUAGGAGAGCUGGAGCCUCCACCUACCAGGUUUCCACAGCAGAAAGGCCUUGUCUCGGGCCAGGAGGACCAGUGAGCAUGGCCUACCUGGCCUUCUAACACCAAAGUGCACAUUGUCCGUCUUGCCCAUCCCAGCCACAACUGAAUGCAGCUCUUCAACCACCACUCCUCAAGUAUGGCUUUUCUUUAGUCAUAAAAACAAAGGUACUGCUACCUGCCCUGCUUAUCUUUCAGCACUGUUAGGAGGGAUAUAUUAAGAAAUGUUCAUGAAAGGGCUUUGAAAAUCAUAAAGCAGAAGGCAUUUACGUCUUAAAAUGUUUUACUAGGCAAGGUGACCUAUAAAUGGAGCAGUGUCAAGGUAGACUUGGGUAUAAUUCAGGAGCAGGCCCACCUGUGAGAUCUGAUAUGUCCCAUGUCAAGGCAUGCUCCCUCACUGUCCCUAAGAUUUCAUUGUCAAUGGAAUGUGCCUUUGGAGUUAGCAUUUACUACUCUCUUCAGGUCUCAGCUUUAAAAUACAAAUUUUCUGGGGCGUCCGGGUGGCUCAGUUGGUUAGGCAUCUGCCUUUGGUUCAAGCCCUGAUCUUGGAGUCCUAGGAUCUAGCCCCCG